CCCAGACUCCUACGGGAGGCAGCAGUGGGGAAUAUUGCACAAUGGGGGAAACCCUGAUGCAGCGACGCCGCGUGAAGGAAGAAGUAUUUCGGUAUGUAAACUUCUAUCAGCAGGGAAGAAAAUGACGGUACCUGACUAAGAAGCCCCGGCUAACUACGUGCCAGCAGCCGCGGUAAUACGUAGGGGGCAAGCGUUAUCCGGAUUUACUGGGUGUAAAGGGAGCGUAGGCGGUUUAGCAAGUCAGAAGUGAAAGCCCGGGGCUCAACUCCGGGACUGCUUUUGAAACUGUUGAACUAGAUUGCAGGAGAGGUAAGUGGAAUUCCUAGUGUAGCGGUGAAAUGCGUAGAUAUCAGGAGGAACACCGGCGGCGAAGGCGGCCUGCUGGACCGCGACUGACGUUGAGGCUCGAAAGCGUGGGGAGCGAACAGGAUUAGAUACCCUAGUAU
rnacentral:rRNA from 1 species